rnacentral:rRNA from 1 species
AUAACAAUACAGGACUCUUUCGAAGCCCUGUAAUUGGAAUGAGUACACUUUAAAUUCUUUAACGAGGAUCUAUUGGAGGGCAAGUCUGGUGCAGAGCGACUGACCCGUGUUUGCUGCAGCUGAAACUCCACUAUCGCCUGCUGCUGCUCGCACAGUCUCUCCAGCUUGUG